CAGCCAAAUCAUGUUGAAACAUUGGUUCCCGUAUGAUCACCGAAGUUAAACAACGUCGAAACUGGUUAAUACCUAGGCGGGUGGCCGCUCGAGAAUACCAGGUGCUGCAUGC